rnacentral:miRNA from 1 species
UGGCAGUGAUUGCCACGUCAU